GACGAACGCGGCGGCGUGCCUAAUACAUGCAAGUAGAACGCACAGGAUGCAUCGUAGUUUACUACACCGUAUUCUGUGAGUUGCGAACGGGUGAGUAACGCGUAGGUAACCUGCCUGGUAGCGGGGGAUAACUAUUGGAAACGAUAGCUAAUACCGCAUAAGAACAUUUACUGCAUGGUAGAUGUUUAAAAGGUGCAAAUGCAUCACUACCAGAUGGACCUGCGUUGUAUUAGCUAGUUGGUGAGGUAACGGCUCACCAAGGCAACGAUACAUAGCCGACCUGAGAGGGUGAUCGGCCACACUGGGACUGAGACACGGCCCAGACUCCUACGGGAGGCAGCAGUAGGGAAUCUUCGGCAAUGGGGGGAACCCUGACCGAGCAACGCCGCGUGAGUGAAGAAGGUUUUCGGAUCGUAAAGCUCUGUUGUUAAGGAAGAACGUG
rnacentral:rRNA from 1 species